rnacentral:rRNA from 1 species
AUCGAACGCUGGCGGAAUGCUUUACACAUGCAAGUCGAACGGCAGCACGGGGGCAGCCCUGGUGGCGAGUGGCGAACGGGUGAGUAAUACAUCGGAACGUGCCCGGUCGUGGGGGAUAACGUAGCGAAAGUUACGCUAAUACCGCAUACGAUCUGAGGAUGAAAGCGGGGGACCUUCGGGCCUCGCGCGAUCGGAGCGGCCGAUGUCAGAUUAGGUAGUUGGUGGGGUAAAGGCCUACCAAGCCGACGAUCUGUAGCUGGUCUGAGAGGACGAACAGCCACACUGGGACUGAGACACGGCCCAGACUCCUACGGGAGGCAGCAGUGGGGAAUUUUGGACAAUGGGCGCAAGCCUGAUCCAGCCAUUCCGCGUGCAGGACGAAGGCCUUCGGGUUGUAAACUGCUUUUGUACGGAACGAAAAGGCUCUGGCUAAUACCUGGGGCUCAUGACGGUACCGUAAGAAUAAGCACCGGCUAACUACGUG